rnacentral:lncRNA from 1 species
GUGCAGGAGGCUGAGUUGGGAGGAUCACUUGAGCUUAGGAGUUAGAGGUUGUAGAAAGCUAUGAUCAUACCACUGCACUCCAGGCUGGAUGACAGUGGGCCCUGUCUCUAAAACACAAAAAAAAACUAACAAAAAAAGUGUUUAAUCCAUAAGAUGACCACAUUUAUAGGAGGCUCCCGGCAAUCUUAGCCUGAAGCCAUGAAGGAAGACGCAGUGUGAAGGCAAGUGCAGGCUGGCCUCUGGCAGCUGAGGAUCAGGACAGGAUGUGGAGUGAACAUCCACAUCAAAGCUUUAUUGCUUGGAUUGGAAAAAAAAUUCCUAUCUGUAGGUCAGCCUUAAAAUACACCAUUUCAUAAAAUAUUGAUUGUCUUUCCCAUAUUUUGAGCCCAUGCAAUUUGUGCUACCUGAGGGAACAGUAUUGUGUCCUUGAUUUGGUGAGAUCAGUAGCUUUCUUAUCUUAUUGAGUGACAGCUACAGAACUCAGAAACAGAAGCUGCAUAUUAAGCAAAUUUAUAUCUUUCUUGUUAUAAUAUUAUUGUGUAUAAGAAAUAGAGAUGGCCGGGUGCGGUGGCUCACGCCUGUAAUCUCAGCACUUUGGGAGGCUGAGGCAGAUGGAUCACACGGUCAGGAGUUUGAGACCAGCCUGGCCAACAUGGUGAAACCCUGUCUCUACUAAAAAUACAAAAGGCAAUAAGAGGUUCUAUGUGGACUUUGAAGGUCGUCUCUAUCAAUUUGAGGUUGGAAAGAACAGUUUUGUUGACAUCCUUUAGCUGUGUUACAAGUACAAUUUUGUUUUUUACUCAGGCAAAAGAAAAUGUGUGUGUGUGUUAAAUACAGUCAGCCCUCUUUAUCUGUGGGUCCUGCAUCCUUGCUUUCUACCAACCUCAGAUCAAAAAUAUUCCAGAAAAAAAAGGAUGGUUGCAUCUGUACUGAAUAUGUACAAGCUUUUUUUCUUGUCAUUCUUUAUGCAAUAAAGUAUAACAACCAUUUACGUUGCAUUUCCAUUGUAUUAGGUAUUGUGGGUAAUCUAGAGAUGAUUUGAAGGAUAUUGGAGGGUGUGUCCAGGCUGCAGGCAAGUACUAUGGCAUUUUAUGUCAGGGACACCUACAGAUUUUUGUCUCCAGCCAUGGUUCCUGUAUAGUUUAACAUUUCCACACGCUGAGGGUGUGAUGGGUCUGAGUUGGGUUGGUCCCCCAUGUUUGAGGAAGUGUGCCCAUCAUGAUUGUACACCCUUGUUGUAAACUUCGGAUAUGUCUAUUUUGAUAUUUAAAACAUUUUCAGGUUAAGUCUGAAAAAUGCCAAGAUAGUAACAAUAUUUUAAAAGGGAAUUCAGAAGUAUUACUAUAAUAAUAGAACUCAUUAUUAGAACAUUCUAAUAGUAGAAAAGGAAGUCUAUUUAUUUUAUAAAAUUGUCAGUUCAGCUUAAGAUCUAAUAGUCUUUUCCAAUUAGCAGCAACUUAAUUGAGACUACCUCAAAAGAAGAAUUUAACAUUUAUUUUUGUAGAAAAAAAGCAAUUUUAAAAUAGCCUGGGAAAACUUAGGUAAGUUUUCCUUAAUCCUGACUCCUAAUUUGUGGCUAGAAGUGGCAAUGAUAUGAACAUAAGUUGUGCUAUUUGUUAAUAUAUUGCUUUUCAUAAAUCAAUCCCUUUUUUGUAAUUAGGUAAAAAGAGAAGAGAAAGACAUUCUUGAUUUUGGUGACUAGAGUUGUAGAUGCUGGAAGCUUUGCCACUAACAUUGAUGAACCAGAUGCAUGUCACCAGCCCAUCACGGUGAUUCUUAAUGCCGUUAAGUAUGAACAUACAGUAAAAGACUGUUGAUAGAAUACAUCGGUCUUAUGAAAUGAAAUGUGUUGGUUAAGGAUUUUUUAAACGAAUUUCACAUUACACAACUGGCUUUACUAAAUCUGAGUCUUGUAUUUCUGAACAGGGCACCAUGGGCCCGGCACUGCCACGUUUUCCAAGGAACCUGCCGGAGCUCCUGCGGAAGCUGCUCCUCAGGCGAUGGAGUCCCUUCGCUGGUAGGCCCUUCUUCAGUCACCACAGGAUGCCUGCCAUUCAUGAACAAGAAGGAGAGGACGGGCUUUGAAUAAAAAACAGGUGGAGUCUCACUCUGUUGCCUGGGCUGGAGUGCAAUGGUGUGAUCACUGCUCACUGCAACCUCCGCCUCCUGGGUUCAAGCAGUUCUCCUGCCUCAGCCUCCCAAGUAGCUGCAAUUACAGGUGCAUGCCACCACUCCCAGCAAAUUUUUAUAUUUUUAGUGGAGACAGGGUUUCACCAUGUUGACCAGGCUGGUCUCAAACUCCUGACCUCAGGUGAUCUGCCCACCUUGGCCUCCCAAAGUUCUGGGAUUAAAGGUACGAGCCACCGCAACUGGCUGAGAAUCUUUUUAUUUGCUGAUUUGUCUCUUGUGUAUUUUCUUUGUUCAGAUGUCUCUUCAGAUCUUUUUCUCACUUUUAAAUUGUUUUUUAAUUGUUAAGAAUUUUCUGUCUAGUUUAGAUAUAAGCCCUUUAUCAGACAUGUGUUUUGCAAAUAUUUUCUCCUAGUCUGUGGCUUGUAUUCUGUCUCUUAACACUCAUUUUAUUUUUACUUUUGGAACUAAAGAAGAAGAAUGGUCAGCUUUCCAUUAUUCUUGUAACAGUAAUGGCAGAACCAAGUCUGCUAAUGCUACACUGAGCAAAGAAAGUCACCUGGUGAAGUCCAACAUUAAUGAAAUGGGGUAGUACAUGCAGGCAGCGUUGGGGGUGGGGAGGGAACAAAUGCUUCUUGAGAGUAAUAUAAUCUGCCAUACCAUCCAGGAACCUACAAUGGCUAUCUAUUACCUUAUUCUCUGGUUUGUUUAAUGUUCGAAUCUUUCCGAAAGAUCCUUCAACCUUUCUGGAAGAAUCUAAUCUGAUAACACCAUCAAAAACACAUUACUUCUUUUGGCAUAAUUUAAAUUGUAAGACAUCAUUCACAUUUAUCAAUGUUACAUAUAUAAGAACUCACCCACCAUAUUCUUCCUUGAGGAAUUACAGCAUGUAAUUCUAUAAUCAUUUUUAUAAUCGUCUAACAAUUUUAUAAUGGAUUGGUUGCUUACUAUCAAUUUUUUAAAAGUCAUGGCUUCUCCAGUCAUUUCUUGCUUAUCGAAAUUAUUUCAUGAGAUGGGUCUCUCCUUGUAUAUUUGAAAAUGAGGUUUGCUUCCUUCUACUUAAAAAACAACUUGAACAUACCUGUUUGGAUCACAUGGUCUUGUCCUGAUAACUUGGAAGAGGUUGCUUCAGCAUUGUUCUUAUUGUUGUGGUGGUUAUUAUUAAUAUUGUUUCAUAUUCUGUUUAAAAAAUUAAAAUUUUACACAAGACCAAUGUCUUCUUUUCAAUUCCAGUACAUUUUUCAGAAGUAACUAAUGCUAUUGGCUUUGUGCAUUGUAAUUUCAGACCAUUUUAUAUGUCUUUAGUUAUAUGUACAGUAUACACACAUAUGUGUCAUAUUAUUCCAUUUUUUCUAGCAUUAAACAUUGCUAUGGAAAACUCUCGGAAAAAUAUUUAUUUGAACAGAACUUUUUCUUUUCUCAGAUGUACCCUCCUUAGGAAUCUUUCUUUGAUCCUUGAAGUUUGGUAACAACUUUAAAUAUGUGUAUCCCAGCUGGGAGCAGCGGCUCACACCUGUAAUUUCAGCACUUUGGGAGGCCGAGGAGGGUGGAUCACCUGAGGUCAGGAGUUUGCCUGGCCAACAUGGUGAAACCCCGUCUUUACUGAAAAUACAAAAAGUUAGCCAGGUGUGGUGGCUGGCACCUGUAAUCCCAGCUACAUGGGAGGCUGAGGCAGGAGAAUCGCUUGAACCUAUAGAGACAAGGUUUCACCAUGUUGACCAGGCUGGUCUCGAACUCCUGACCUCAGGUGAUCCACCCACCUCAGCCUCCCAAAAUGCUGGGAUUACAGGCAUGAGCCAUUGCACCCAGCCAUACAGGAGCAAGUUUAAAAAUUAAAUAUUUAUUUGAAUAACAAGCUUACAUUGGAGCUGCAAUGUUGGCAAUCCAGAUUUUGAACACGGAUCACAAAAAGCAUGCAUAAAAUCCUACUGGCCCAGAGAACAAAACACUGCUCAGAAUUAAGCGAAAUAGCUGCUACUGUUAAGAAAACAGGCCUGAAAUCAAUAUACAAGAUUUUAAAAAAUGUAUUGGCCGGAUGCAGUGGCUCAUUCCUGUAAUUCCAGAACUUUGGGAGGCCAAGACAGGAGAAUCACCUGAGGUCAGGAGUUCAAGACCAGCCUGGCCAACAUGGUGAAACUCCAUCUCUACUAAAAAUAAAAAAUUAGCUGGGUGUGGUGACACAUGCCUGUAGUCCCAGCUACCUGGGAGGCUGAGGCAGAAUAAUUUCUCGAACCCAGGAGGAGGAGGUUUGCAAUGGCAUGAUCUCUGCUCACCGCAACCUCCGCCUCCCGGGUUCAAGCAAUUCUCCUACUUCAGCCUCCCGAGUAGCUGGGAUUACAGGCAUGUGCCACCAUGCCUGGCUACUUUUCUGUAUUUUUAGUAGAGACAGAGUUUCUCCAUGUUGGUCAGGCUGGUCUUGAACUCACAACCUCCGGUGAUCUGCCUGCCUCGGCCUCCCAUAGUGCUGGGAUUACAGGCAUGAGCCACCAUGCCUGCCCAUGAAAGCACUUUUAAAAAGAGAGCACCUCUGCUGCCUGGUCAUAUUCUGUACCUGUUCCCAAACCCUGAAACCAGUGAUGUCAAUGGCUGCGUGGGCAUUGAACGUGUACAUGAUUCCUGCAGCUUUCCUGUUGACCUGGACCAUGUUCAUCAAUGCUUUUUGGUACAUUAAUUCUACAUCUUCUUCGGUGACCACAGUUUAUGUUUAUUUCAUUUUUCAGGAAUAUCCAGCCACUGGUGCACAGCCAUUGCCACUUGUGCCCCCAGGGGAUCUUGUCAACUCCAGUAUGUCCCCCCAGCACUGUGUUAUCUGGCAUAAUAAAUGUAGUUGGGCUGUAGUUGUAGUGACUCCUCCCAAAACAACCCAGGAGUUUAAUACUGUUUGGCCACCGGUUACAGACAUUGCUGCCCCUUCCGCUGCGGCUUUAAAAGCCUAUCUAAUCGGCUGGGUGUGAUGGUGGCUCAGACCUAUAAUCCCAGCACUUUGGGAGUCCAAGGUGGGUGGAUCACCUGAGGUCAGGAGUUUGAGACCGGCCUGGCCAACAUGGUGAAACCCCAUCUCUACUAAAAAUACAGCAAAUUAGCUGGGCGUGGUGGCGCAUGACUGUAAUCCCAGCUACUCGGGAGGCUGAGGUAGGAGAAUUGCUUGGGUGGCAGAGUAAGACUCCGUCCCAAAAAAAAAAGUUAUCUAAUCAGGGACGUCACCUUUCCCUGCCAGUCAUUUUGUUACCAAUGAAAGAAAACAUAUUCAAAUCAAUUUUUAGUUCAGAAAAUGUUUCUUUCAUUGUAUCUUUGAAUUUUAUUGUUCUGCAUUUUUUACUUCAAAAACACCUACUAUAUGCAUUUUUUCUCUCGUUUCCUUUUUUUUCCAAGAAAUGUUUUUGUCCUUUUGAUUUUUUCACUGACCAUUACCAUUAUUUAUAUACCAUGUACCUGGAGAGUUUCCAAUGUUUCUCUUUGGUCUGAGAUACUUGCUAUGAUUUUCACUUUUUAAAUGCUCUUUUGAGAUUUGUUUUGUGGCCUAAAAUGUGGUCUAUCCUGGAGAAUGUUCUGUGAGCUGAUGAGAAGAAUGCACGUUCUGCAGUUGGUGGGUGAAAUGUUCUGUAAUUACCUGUGAGGUCCCUUUGACUUCUCUUGGAGUCAGUCUGGUCUGUUACUUUUCUGCCUAGAGGGUGUGUCUGUUGCUGAAAGUGGGUGUUGGAGUCCCCAGCUAUUAUUGUCUGUCUCUGUCUGUUGCUCGAAUAACUCUUACUUUAAUAACUGGGGCUCCUGUGUCAGGUGUGUUUACAUUGACAACUGUCCUACCUUCUUGCUGAAUUGAUCUCUUUAUCGUUUUAUAAUGACCUUUAUUUUCUAUUUUUGUGCUUUUUUGACUUAAAGCCUACUUUGUGUGACAAGCAUAGCUAUACAUACUCACUUUUGGUAACACUUUUCAUUUCUUAUCAUCUUCAUUGAAUCUCACUUCUUCACAUUUACCAAAAUGUCUACUUUUGAGCUGUGGCACCUCUUUGAAUCUUCAGAUCCACCACAUGCUGAUCAAGCCUUCCUUUUUGUCUGUACUCUGAGGAAUCCCAAACAGGCAUUUUUGCAAGAAAGUCUAGGAGGGAAACAUAAAUCUAUGUGUCAAAAAAAUGAACAUAGAAAAUAAUGUGUCCUGGUUAACAAAAGUUCUCAUUGUAAAGUGUUAGGCACAAGACUAUGGAAUUUCAUGUGCCAUAAAUAAAAUUGUCUUGAUUUGUCUAAAACUACAUUUUGUCUAAAACUACUUUUAAAAAUUACAUGUUACUCUAAUA